rnacentral:rRNA from 1 species
GAUGAACGCUGACAGAAUGCUUAACACAUGCGAGUCUACCAAGAAUCACUUCGGUGAGGAAUGGUGGCGGACGGGUGAGUAACGCGUAAAUAAUCUGCCCUUUAGACUGGGAUAUCCUUUGGAAACGAAGGUUAAUACCGGAUAUUAUGAGAUGGACGCAUGUUCAACUUAUGAAAGCUAAAUGCACUAGAGGAGGAGUUUGCGUCCCAUUAGCUAGUUGGUGAGGUAAAGGCGCACCAAGGCCACGAUGGGUAGCCGGCCUGAGAGGGUGAACAGCCACAAGGGAACUGAGACACGGUCCUUACUCCUACGGGAGGCAGCAGUGGGGAAUAUUGGACAAUGGACCAAAAGUCUGAUCCAGCAAUUCUGUGUGCACGAUGAAGGUCUUCGGAUUGUAAAGUGCUUUCAGUAGGGAAGAAAAAAAUGACGGUACCUACAGAAGAAGCGACGGCUAAACAUGUGCCAGCCGCCGCCGUAA